AGCGCGCCUGCGCCGCCAUCACCGUCGCGGCCUUGGCACGUGAGCCCGACGCGACGCGCGCAAGGUACUCCUCAACGUCUUCCCGCGAGUUGAACACCAUCGCAUCCCUGACGGCAGGGAACUCCCAACGCUCUAUCAUCGAUCCUCGGCCGCCAUGGAGAAGACGGGGAAGGACGGAGGAAGAAGAUGACUAGUGAGGACUAGUGGGGUCCAUACGUCAUUGUCACAAGAGAGAUGAGACUAUAUCACUAUGGAGGCCUUAGAUAAUACGGAGACGCUGAGAACGCUUCGAUCAGAGAUGGACGGUGGAUAUGUAGGCGAAAGUUACAUCGUGACUUGCUUGAGUAAAGUUACUGAAUCCCAGUCCGUGGGUACUUUGCUCCCUAGCUGUGGAAACUUAUGACCUGUUAAUAAAGUAUACUGUGUAUGCUUUUUAGUUGGUGAAAAUUUUUGGUCUUGACUACUAUAAUAUUUUUGUUUGUAUUUGAUAAUUAUUAUCCAAUCAUAGACUAACUAGGCUCAAAUGAUUCGUCUCGCAAAUUACGGGUGAUCUAUACAAUUAAUUAUCUUUUAAUCUAUAUUUAAUGUUCAAUGUAUGCGUUGCA
rnacentral:lncRNA from 1 species